GCUAUUUUACACCCUCUCAGAUGACACGGUGUGGGACUGAAUUUAUCGACUGUACCAUUUUCAAGGGAGGCAAUUCAACGCCUCUGCCUCUCUCUCGUCUAAUAUUACAAACUUUAUGUGGUCAGUCGGCAAGCGUUGUGAUUCAUUGGUAUCAAUCACACAGUGGUAUCAAUCACACAUAGUCAACCCAGUCAACAUCAGUAUAUUCCACCACCGUGUUCGUGUUUUUUAUCUGUACUAGGGACUGGUUGGCCUCUAUCACUGUUUCCGGACAGUUGCACCUUGUCAGCAGAUCCCUCAGCUCACACAGCAACCUCACACUUGUUUGUUUCCCUUGGGCAGUGUCAAUAUCAUCUGUAUGAGCCUUCAGUGAUGUGCCACUUGACUCUGCACCAUUCAUGUUGCUAGGUGAUAGACAAUCUUCUGAUGAGACUUUUGGAAACUUGACAUUAAUACCUGUUGGCAAUGAGGUCCUGCAAUCCUUGCUGACAUGUAACAUUGGGGUGUCUCUGUAUUGCUUGGGUAAGGCUUCCCAUGGUAGGUUGUUUUGAUAUAAUGUGGCCAGAAUAUGCUUACAUGGGAAAAAAUGUCUUCUAAAGUCAUGGCAUGAACAGAGAUCUUUGGUACCCCUAUUAAGAACAACAUUGUAAUUGUUCACUUGGUAAUUUGAUUCACCUUUGUGGAUGGAUUCUGUCUGCAUCACCUCAUUCAGUCUCCUUUUACAGUGGUCAAAGCAUGUCCACCCUCUCCCAGUCAAGAACUCGGGGACAGAAUCCUUCAAUGCCAUCUUCAUUCUGUUGUUCUUUUCAUAGUAACUGCAAUGAUAAUUGUUAUUUCCAGAAUAUAUCUCAAGGUUGUAUAUUUAUCAAUACCCAAAGAAAAUUUUACUUUUUCCUAUGAUCUUAUUCUGAUUUUGUGAUAUCCAUUCAACUGUAAGUUUUAUGACAAUUAAUCUGAUAUCCUUGAAGGAAGGGUUGUAUUUCAGUAUCCACUAUUUGCAGGUUUGUACUGUUUAAGGGUUUAUUCUUUCAAAUUGUGCUCAGUUGAAGGUUGUAAGGAGUAUUAGGAAUGGGAAGGGAGUCUCACUGAAAUUCUUCUGAAUUUUAGACAACUAUGAACAAUGACUUAGCUAUGUUAAGAAAAAGAACAAAGAUAAAAUAAAUUUCUGGCCACCCACUGCUAAUAUGUUCAACUCAGCAUAUAACAAUGCCAAAAGAAUGAAACCUGCACGUCUGGUGUAGGAUUUAUUGUGAGCAAACAUUUCAUUUCAAGCUUACAGUUUAACAUUAUCCAAUUAAACAAAACUUCUGAAUUA